rnacentral:rRNA from 1 species
UACGUAGGGUGCAAGCGUUGUCCGGAAUUAUUGGGCGUAAAGAGCUCGUGGGCGGUCUGUUACGUCGGCUGUGAAAACCUGGGGCUCAACUCCGGGCCUGCAGCCGAUACGGGCAGACUAGAAUUCGGUAGGGGAGACUGGAAUUCCUGGUGUAGCGGUGAAAUGCGCAGAUAUCAGGAGGAACACCGGUGGCGAAGGCGGGUCUCUGGGCCGAUAUUGACGCUGAGGAGCGAAAGCGUGGGGAGCGAACAGG